CCCCCCUCUAAUCAGUGAAACUGAUCUCCCCGUGAAGAAGCGGGGAUAUACAUAUAAGACGAGAAGACCCCAUGGAGCUUUAAACCUGACAGCACCCGCUCAUUCUAUACCCCAUUAUUUGCCCGACCCCUGUCUGCUCAGUUUUAGGUUGGGGUGACCACGGAGUAUAAAAUAACCUCCAUGAAGAAGGGGAUAUUUCCCUUAUUAGAGAACCACACUUCCAAGAACUAAUAAAUUAAUUUUCAAUGACCCGAUACCCGAUAAUCGAUCAACGAACCAAGUUACCCUGGGGAUAACAGCGCAAUCCACCCUGAAAGCCCUUAUUAACAGGUGGGUUUAC
rnacentral:rRNA from 1 species